AUUGAACGCUGGCGGCAUGCCUAACACAUGCAAGUCGAACGGCAGCGCGGGGGCAACCCUGGCGGCGAGUGGCGGACGGGUGAGGCAUACAUGGGAAUCUACCCUGUCGUGGGGGAUAACGUAGGGAAACUUACGCUAAUACCGCAUACGACCGAGAGGUGAAAGCGGCGGACCGCAGGGCGUCGAGCGAUUGGAUGAGCCCAUGACGAAUUAGCUAGUUGGCGGGGUAAAGGCCCACCAAGGCCACGAUCCGUAGCUGGUCUGAGAGGAUGAUCAGCCACACUGGAACUGAGACACGGUCCAGACUCCUACGGGAGGCAGCAGUGGGGAAUAUUGGACAAUGGGCGCAAGCCUGAUCCAGCAAUGCCGCGUGGGUGAAGAAGGCCUUCGGGUUGUAAAGCCCUUUUGUACGGGAAGAAAUCCUGUCGGUUAAUACCCGGCGGGGAUGACGGUACCGUAAGAAUAAGCACCGGCUAACUUCGUGCCAGCCGCCGCCGUAAGAC
rnacentral:rRNA from 1 species